GGGGACAGUGGGUGAAUGAUCUUCCAGAGCUCCUGUUCCUGCUGGGGUCAUUAAUCAUGGGCAGCUGCACAGCAGGACACCCUCAGCCAGCCACACAUCCGCACAGGAAUGGAGAGCUCUGCCCAUAACUUUUCCUCCUUGGCAAACCCUAUUUCUUAUGCAAACCCUCAGAGCUGCAAGUUCAAGGACAAAGUGGAGGGCACAGAAGACCGGAACCAGCUGUUUCCCAAUGUGAGACGCCCAUUGGUGAGCCGGUGAGCUGUCAGGCCCGUGAGAUGCUGGCCCCAUUGACUGAGCUGGGAAGGUAGAGCCCCUGGAGCACUGGGGUGGGAGCGCAGGAUUGCAAUGGAGACACCAGAAAGGCUGGGGACAGGGCAGCACCUAGAUUUCAGCCCUUGGGGCAAACUGGAGAGUCUAAGGGUCAUCAGUUGCACAGGACAGGAUGACUCGUGAGAGUCGAAGGGACAGAGAGGAAUGAGAGAGGGGGACACUCUGAGGCCGCCGCCGUGUUGGCAUUUCUGCUGUUCUUAGGGUUUGGCUGUGUGAGAUCAGUGUUCAUUCACAUGGAAGAGGGAGAGAAGGACACGGUGGUCUCUCUGCCAGCUCCGCAGGCCACUAGGGCCCCGUCUGUUGAGGACGUACUGUGCCAGGCAACUCCCCAGGGUGGAAUGUCAAGCCUGCUUACCUCCUGAUUUUACACCAAGGCCUGGAACUCACUAGACUGAUGGCUUUGAAGACAAGCCAGACCCGUGACAGUGAGACUAAGGAUCCACAGCCCCUUUGGGCUCAUUCAAGGACCACAGGUUUUUUUCAAAUCCCACUUAGAACCAAACCCCAGUUCAGUGAUGGAGAAGAGAAUGCUUUGACAGUUAUAUUUCUCAAGGCCCAACAUUUGCAGACCACCACAUGCGAAGACUCUGAAGGGUGCCUGCAAUGCUUUGUGAUCUGGGAGGAGGGAACUCCAGAAGAGACAGGCUCAGGAAACCGACGUGUAACCUUUAUCGCCAGGCGGUUCUUCUUAUGA
rnacentral:lncRNA from 1 species